rnacentral:lncRNA from 1 species
CAUGGCAGACUUUUCUGGCAUGGCCAAGCUGCUCCUGUCACUGAGUUUGCAGGAGGAGGGCAAGUUUCUAAUGGAGGUGGUACAGGUUUGCUGUGCUACAGGAGCAAGAAAAACUGUCUUCUGGAGUUAUCUGUGUAGGUCACAUACCUCCAGCGCUUUAUGAAACCCAGAUCUGAGCAUAUUUCUCCAAGUAUGACAUGAUUACAAGAUUCAAGCUCUCCAGAAGUGGAAAGCCUGAAAAUGCCAAAACUAUGCUUUUGUGGAGUUUGAGUCUAAUGAUAUUGCUAAGUUGCCAAAACAAUGAACCGCCUUUUUGGUAAAAGACUCUUCAAGUGUCAUUUUAUACCACUUGAAAAAGUACAUGAAGAACUUUUCAGAGAGUGGAGUGUUCCAUGUAAAAAGCCAUCAUAUCCAGUGAAAUGAAACAGUCAGAAUUGAACACUUUUAGAAAAGCUGCAGAUAAGGAGCUAUUUAAAAAGAAAGAAAAAUUACUCAGGAAGAGAUUAGCCAAGAAAGAAAUUGAUUAUAAUUUUCUUUCACUGAUUUAACAGAAAAAGGAAAAAAGAAAUGUUUCGAGCACUGAUUUUCAGAAAUCUGCAAAUAGUCAUGUUUUACCUAAGAAGAAGAAAAAGGAGAUUUUAGGCAUACUCCUGAAAAGAUGGUGAAAUAUCAGGGCUUCAUAUUAGUUUGUAUAUCAACAUGUUUGCAGAGACAGAAAUCUGAUGUGACAUAGGUGAAUGAUGAUGAUAAAGAUAAUGAAAUAGUUUUCAAAUAGCACAUAUCUGGUAUAAAAAAAGAAAUACUGGACACAGUGAGACCCCUGUCCCAGAAAAC